AUCACUACUAUCCACACAAUCAACACAUCUAUUUAUUGCCGGAAUGUGCGAUCCAACAAGUCUGCAAUGCAGUUUAUGUGCGCCUAAAUUAUACACAACCACUAUGUGCCUGUCCAUCGAGGUACCGUGAUCCGUGCUCUGCUAGCCUAAAUGAAGAUGAUCAGCACACCACGAAGCUAAUCGGUGAUGGUAAAAAAAAAGCAAUUACCUUAGCGAAGACAUGCGAGGCAACAACGGAGAUGCGUGAGUGUCGCUCGCCAAAGGAUUGGU